rnacentral:rRNA from 1 species
CACGUAGGGUGCGAGCGUUGUCCGGAAUUAUUGGGCGUAAAGAGCUCGUAGGCGGUGUGUCGCGUCGGCCGUGAAAACCUGCAGCUUAACUGUGGGCUUGCGGUCGAUACGGGCAUCACUGGAGUUCGGCAGGGGAGACUGGAAUUCCUGGUGUAGCGGUGAAAUGCGCAGAUAUCAGGAGGAACACCGGUGGCGAAGGCGGGUCUCUGGGCCGAUACUGACACUGAGAAGCGAAAGCGUGGGGAUCAAACAGG